GAUGAACGCUGGCGGCGUGCCUACUACAUGCAAGUCGAGCGAACGGACGAGAAGCUUGCUUCUCUGAUGUUAGCGGCGGACGGGUGAGUAACACGUGGAUAACCUACCUAUAAGACUGGGAUAACUUCGGGAAACCGGAGCUAAUACCGGAUAAUAUUUUGAACCGCAUGGUUCAAAAGUGAAAGACGGUCUUGCUGUCACUUAUAGAUGGAUCCGCGCUGCAUUAGCUAGUUGGUAAGGUAACGGCUUACCAAGGCAACGAUGCAUAGCCGACCUGAGGGGGUGAUCGGCCACACUGGAACUGAGACACGGUCCAGACUCCUACGGGAGGCAGCAGUAGGGAAUCUUCCGCAAUGGGCGAAAGCCUGACGGAGCAACGCCGCGUGAGUGAUGAAGGUCUUCGGAUCGUAAAACUCUGUUAUUAGGGAAGAACAUAUGUGUAAGUAACUGUGCACAUCUUGACGGUACCUAAUCAGAAAGCCACGGCUAACUACGUG
rnacentral:rRNA from 1 species